UGGGGGAAUAUUGCACAAUGGGGGGAACCCUGAUGCAGCGACCGCCGCGUGAGUGAAGAAGUAUUUCGGUAUGUAAAGCUCUAUCAGCAGGGAAGAAAAUGACGGUACCUGACUAAGAAGCCCCGGCUAACUAC
rnacentral:rRNA from 1 species